rnacentral:piRNA from 1 species
UGAUGGAGACGAAAGUGCUACCUAAAUGCCA